rnacentral:rRNA from 1 species
GGGCUGCCUUCGCCAUCGGGGUUCCUCCACAUAUCUACGCAUUUCACUGCUACACGCGGAAUUCCACCUCCCUCUGACACACUCUAGUCUUGCAGUUCCAAACGCAGUUCCCAGGUUAAGCCCGGGGAUUUCACGUCUGUGUUACAAAACCGCCUGCGCACGCUUUACGCCCAGUAAUUCCGAUUAACGCUCGCACCCUACGUAUUACCGCGGCUG